AUGAGUGAUAACCCCCUACUUUUGAAAAUAUAUAUGAGGGGAUCCAAUGAAUUUUUUUGUCCUAGUCAAAAACCCAAAUUUUGAUCUUAAUUUGUCUGACCCCCUGGACCAAAGGAUAUGACUGUUUUACCCUUAUUGGGCAGUUUUUGGGAAUUAAGACCCGAUGAAAGUCACGAUCCUCUCAUUUGAUUUUCUCUUCCCCACCUAAACCCUAAAUUUCUCUCCACCCACAGCCCUCCGCCCCGAAGCGCCGAUCCUCACAUCCCUCGCGUCGCUCUACCAUCUUAUCUCAAUCCGUCCCCUUCAAACCCGUCGCAGCAAGAUCUGAAGCCAAAGUUCAAGCAGGGGAACGACAAUUGUAUUGCAGUAUGCUCUUGCGAGUGGAUUCUCGAUCCGGUGGUCGGCUGAGAACGACAACUGCGAUGCUCGUGCCAGAUCCGGCGGGGCGUGCGGGUACAAUCAGGAUGCGCGUCGUUUGAUUGCAGUCUGCUCUUGUGAGUGGGAUUCUCGAUCCGGUGGUGGGCUGAGAACGUCAAUUGCGAUGUCUGUGCCAGAUCCGGCGGCGCGUGCAGGUACAGUCUAGAUGCGGCGUCGUUUGGUUGCUAUUGCAGUGACGGGCGUCGUGAUAGCAGUUGCAUCGAUGAUACCCCACCCGGUGGAAGAAACACUGUGAGUUUAAUUUUAGGAGUCGACUUGUACAUAAAAUGCGAUUGUUGUGGCAAGAAAUAUAAUAAAAAAAAAAACUCGAAACUUGUUCCUGGUGGUGGUGCGACAAAACUGACUGUUCAUCCAUUGAAGGCAUAGAAAAGGUCUUGGUGUUUGAACUACUAUGUAGUAAGUUUUUUCACAGGUUUUGGUGUUUGAACUACUAUGUAGUAAGUUUUUGCGGAGUGGAUUGUGUUUGUUGUUCAAAACAAGCGGUUCUCGUAUUGACAAGUGGGAUUUGAAUCAAAUUUAGUCGUAUAGAUAACUGGAGUCAUGUAUAGUUCCAUGUAGUUAUAUAUAUUUAUAUACAAGCUAUGUGGUUUUUCUGAUGUAUAGUGAUCUUGAUAAUUGUGUUUUUUUUUUUGUUUUUUGUUAGGCAUUAAAUUAUUUAUAAUAUCAAGAAUCAAAUUUUGAA